AGAAAUCAACCGAGAUUCCCCCAGUAGCGGCGAGCGAACGGGGAGCAGCCCAGAGCCUGAAUCAGUGUGUGUGUUAGUGGAAGCGUCUGGAAAGGCGUGCGAUACAGGGUGACAGCCCCGUACACAAAAAUGCACAUAUUGUGAGCUCGAUGAGUAGGGCGGGACACGUGGUAUCCUGUCUGAAUAUGGGGGGACCAUCCUCCAAGGCUAAAUACUCCUGACUGACCGAUAGUGAACCAGUACCGUGAGGGAAAGGCGAAAAGAACCCCGGCGAGGGGAGUGAAAAAGAACCUGAAACCGUGUACGUACAAGCAGUGGGAGCACGCUUAGGCGUGUGACUGCGUACCUUUUGUAUAAUGGGUCAGCGACUUAUAUUCUGUAGCAAGGUUAACCGAAUAGGGGAGCCGAAGGGAAACCGAGUCUUAACUGGGCGUUAAGUUGCAGGGUAUAGACCCGAAACCCGGUGAUCUAGCCAUGGGCAGGUUGAAGGUUGGGUAACACUAACUGGAGGACCGAACCGACUAAUGUUGAAAAAUUAGCGGAUGACUUGUGGCUGGGGGUGAAAGGCCAAUCAAACCGGGAGAUAGCUGGUUCUCCCCGAAAGCUAUUUAGGUAGCGCCUCGUGAAUUCAUCUCCGGGGGUAGAGCACUGUUUCGGCAAGGGGGUCAUCCCGACUUACCAACCCGAUGCAAACUGCGAAUACCGGAGAAUGUUAUCACGGGAGACACACGGCGGGUGCUAACGUCCGUCGUGAAGAGGGAAACAACCCAGACCGCCAGCUAAGGUCCCAAAGUCAUGGUUAAGUGGGAAACGAUGUGGGAAGGCCCAGACAGCCAGGAUGUUGGCUUAGAAGCAGCCAUCAUUUAAAGAAAGCGUAAUAGCUCACUGGUCGAGUCGGCCUGCGCGGAAGAUGUAACGGGGCUAAACCAUGCACCGAAGCUGCGGCAGCGACACUGUGUGUUGUUGGGUAGGGGAGCGUUCUGUAAGCCUGCGAAGGUGUGCUGUGAGGCAUGCUGGAGGUAUCAGAAGUGCGAAUGCUGACAUAAGUAACGAUAAAGCGGGUGAAAAGCCCGCUCGCCGGAAGACCAAGGGUUCCUGUCCAACGUUAAUCGGGGCAGGGUGAGUCGACCCCUAAGGCGAGGCCGAAAGGCGUAGUCGAUGGGAAACAGGUUAAUAUUCCUGUACUUGGUGUUACUGCGAAGGGGGGACGGAGAAGGCUAUGUUGGCCGGGCGACGGUUGUCCCGGUUUAAGCGUGUAGGCUGGUUUUCCAGGCAAAUCCGGAAAAUCAAGGCUGAGGCGUGAUGACGAGGCACUACGGUGCUGAAGCAACAAAUGCCCUGCUUCCAGGAAAAGCCUCUAAGCAUCAGGUAACAUCAAAUCGUACCCCAAACCGACACAGGUGGUCAGGUAGAGAAUACCAAGGCGCUUGAGAGAACUCGGGUGAAGGAACUAGGCAAAAUGGUGCCGUAACUUCGGGAGAAGGCACGCUGAUAUGUAGGUGAAGUCCCUCGCGGAUGGAGCUGAAAUCAGUCGAAGAUACCAGCUGGCUGCAACUGUUUAUUAAAAACACAGCACUGUGCAAACACGAAAGUGGACGUAUACGGUGUGACGCCUGCCCGGUGCCGGAAGGUUAAUUGAUGGGGUCAGCGCAAGCGAAGCUCUUGAUCGAAGCCCCGGUAAACGGCGGCCGUAACUAUAACGGUCCUAAGGUAGCGAAAUUCCUUGUCGGGUAAGUUCCGACCUGCACGAAUGGCGUAAUGAUGGCCAGGCUGUCUCCACCCGAGACUCAGUGAAAUUGAACUCGCUGUGAAGAUGCAGUGUACCCGCGGCAAGACGGAAAGACCCCGUGAACCUUUACUAUAGCUUGACACUGAACAUUGAGCCUUGAUGUGUAGGAUAGGUGGGAGGCUUUGAAGUGUGGACGCCAGUCUGCAUGGAGCCGACCUUGAAAUACCACCCUUUAAUGUUUGAUGUUCUAACGUGGACCCGUGAUCCGGGUUGCGGACAGUGUCUGGUGGGUAGUUUGACUGGGGCGGUCUCCUCCUAAAGAGUAACGGAGGAGCACGAAGGUUGGCUAAUCCUGGUCGGACAUCAGGAGGUUAGUGCAAUGGCAUAAGCCAGCUUGACUGCGAGCGUGACGGCGCGAGCAGGUGCGAAAGCAGGUCAUAGUGAUCCGGUGGUUCUGAAUGGAAGGGCCAUCGCUCAACGGAUAAAAGGUACUCCGGGGAUAACAGGCUGAUACCGCCCAAGAGUUCAUAUCGACGGCGGUGUUUGGCACCUCGAUGUCGGCUCAUCACAUCCUGGGGCUGAAGUAGGUCCCAAGGGUAUGGCUGUUCGCCAUUUAAAGUGGUACGCGAGCUGGGUUUAGAACGUCGUGAGACAGUUCGGUCCCUAUCUGCCGUGGGCGCUGGAGAACUGAGGGGGGCUGCUCCUAGUACGAGAGGACCGGAGUGGACGCAUCACUGGUGUUCGGGUUGUCAUGCCAAUGGCACUGCCCGGUAGCUAAAUGCGGAAGAGAUAAGUGCUGAAAGCAUCUAAGCACGAAACUUGCCCCGAGAUGAGUUCUCCCUGACUCCUUGAGAGUCCUGAAGGAACGUUGAAGACGACGACGUUGAUAGGCCGGGUGUGUAAGCGCAGCGAUGCGUUGAGCUAACCGGUACUAAUGAACCGUGAGGCUUAACCU
rnacentral:rRNA from 1 species